rnacentral:rRNA from 1 species
CGCGUGAGAAUUUACCCUUAGGAGGGGAAUAACAGUUAGAAAUGACUGCUAAUGCCCCAUAACAUUAAUAAUAAUAAUGAAAGAGAUAAUACCUCGCCUAAGGAAAAGCUCGCGUCUGAUUAGCUAGUUGGUAGGGUAAAGGCCUACCAAGGCGACGAUCAGUAGCUGGUUUGAGAGGAUGAUCAGCCACACUGGAACUGAGACACGGUCCAGACUCCUACGGGAGGCAGCAGUGGGGAAUUUUCUGCAAUGGGCGAAAGCCUGACAGAGCAAUACCGCGUGAGGGAAUAAAGAAAGCCC